rnacentral:rRNA from 1 species
CCGAUGACUCGGGGAUAGCCUUUCGAAAGAAAGAUUAAUACCCGAUGGCAUAGUUCUUCCGCAUGGUAGAACUAUUAAAGAAUUUCGGUCAUCGAUGGGGAUGCGUUCCAUUAGGUUGUUGGCGGGGUAACGGCCCACCAAGCCUUCGAUGGAUAGGGGUUCUGAGAGGAAGGUCCCCCACAUUGGAACUGAGACACGGUCCAAACUCCUACGGGAGGCAGCAGUGAGGAAUAUUGGUCAAUGGACGAGAGUCUGAACCAGCCAAGUAGCGUGAAGGAUGACUGCCCUAUGGGUUGUAAACUUCUUUUAUACGGGAAUAAAGUGAGGCACGCGUGCCUUUUUGUAUGUACCGUAUGAAUAAGGAUCGGCUAACUCCGUGCCAGCAGCCGCGGUAAUACGGAGGAUCCGAGCGUUAUCCGGAUUUAUUGGGUUUAAAGGGAGCGUAGGCGGACGCUUAAGUCAGUUGUGAAAGUUUGCGGCUCAACCGUAAAAUUGCAGUUGAUACUGGGUGUCUUGAGUACAGUAGAGGCAGGCGGAAUUCGUGGUGUAGCGGUGAAAUGCUUAGAUAUCACGAAGAACUCCGAUUGCGAAGGCAGCCUGCUGGACUGUAACUGACGCUGAUGCUCGAAAGUGUGGGUAUCAAACAGGAUUAGAUACCCUGGUAGUCCACACAGUAAACGAUGGAUACUCGCUGUUUGCGAUAUACAGUAAGCGGCC